rnacentral:rRNA from 1 species
GACGAACGCUGGCGGCGUGCUUAACACAUGCAAGUCGAACGGAAAGGCCCUGCUUUUGUGGGGUGCUCGAGUGGCGAACGGGUGAGUAACACGUGAGUAACCUGCCCUUGACUUUGGGAUAACUUCAGGAAACUGGGGCUAAUACCGGAUAGGAGCUCCUGCUGCAUGGUGGGGGUUGGAAAGUUUCGGCGGUUGGGGAUGGACUCGCGGCUUAUCAGCUUGUUGGUGGGGUAGUGGCUUACCAAGGCUUUGACGGGUAGCCGGCCUGAGAGGGUGACCGGCCACAUUGGGACUGAGAUACGGCCCAGACUCCUACGGGAGGCAGCAGUGGGGAAUAUUGCACAAUGGGCGGAAGCCUGAUGCAGCAACGCCGCGUGCGGGAUGACGGCCUUCGGGUUGUAAACCGCUUUCGCCUGUGACGAAGCGUGAGUGACGGUAAUGGGUAAAGAAGCACCGGCUAACUACGUGCCAGCAGCCGCGGUGAUACGUAGGGUGCGAGCGUUGUCCGGAUUUUAUUGGCGUAAAGGGCUCGUANGUGGUUGAUCGCGUCGGAAGUGUAAUCUUGGGGCUUAACCCUGAGCGUGCUUUCGAUACGGGUUGACUUGAGGAAGGUAGGGGAGAAUGGAAUUCCUGGUGGAGCGGUGGAAUGCGCAGAUAUCAGGAGGAACACCAGUGGCGAAGGCGGUUCUCUGGGCCUUUCCUGACGCUGAGGAGCGAAAGCGUGGGGAGCGAACAGGCUUAGAUACCCUGGUAGUCCACGCUGUAAACGGUGGGUACUAGGUGUGGGGUCCAUUCCACGGGUUCCGUGCCGUAGCUAACGCUUUAAGUACCCCGCCUGGGGAGUACGGCCGCAAGGCUAAAACUCAAAGGAAUUGACGGGGCCCCGCACAAGCGGCGGAGCAUGCGGAUUAAUUCGAUGCAACGCGUAGAACCUUACCUGGGUUUGACAUGGAUCGGGAGCGCUCAGAGAUGGGUGUGCCUCUUUUGGGGUCGGUUCACAGGUGGUGCAUGGCUGUCGUCAGCUCGUGUCGUGAGAUGUUGGGUUAAGUCCCGCAACGAGCGCAACCCUUGUUCACUGUUGCCAGCACGUUAUGGUGGGGACUCAGUGGAGACCGCCGGGGUCAACUCGGAGGAAGGUGGGGAUGACGUCAAGUCAUCAUGCCCCUUAUGUCCAGGGCUUCACGCAUGCUACAAUGGCUGGUACAGAGAGUGGCGAGCCUGUGAGGGUGAGCGAAUCUCGGAAAGCCGGUCUCAGUUCGGAUUGGGGUCUGCAACUCGACCUCAUGAAGUCGGAGUCGCUAGUAAUCGCAGAUCAGCAACGCUGCGGUGAAUACGUUCCCGGG